rnacentral:lncRNA from 1 species
ACCCCCAGCACUUGGCACCUCAUUUUUCUUUUUCUUCUUCUUUUUUUUAAAGGGAUGACGCCCACCUAAAGAAGAUGCUCCCACUAUAUUCACCAUCUCCUUAUGGAGCUGGUAAUCUUUCUCAAAAAUCUGUAGCAACCCUAACAGAUCGUGGUAGUUUACUACAGGCUUCGUCAUUCGAUAUGACUAAGAAAACAUAAGUAGGAC